rnacentral:misc_RNA from 1 species
AAGUCGUAACAAGGUCUCCGUAGGUGAACCUGCGGAGGGAUCAUUACAGAGUUCAUGCCCUUACGGGUAGAUCUCCCACCCUAUGUUAUUAUUACCAUUGUUGCUUUGGCGGGCCGUCAGGCCUCGGUCAGACUACCGGCUUCGGCUGGUAAGUGCCCGCCAGAGGACCCCCAAACUCUGAAAUUUAGUGUCGUCUGAGUACUAUAUAAUAGUUAAAAAC